GACGAACGCUGGCGGCGUGCUUAACACAUGCAAGUCGAACGCUGAAGCUCAGCUUUUGUUGGGUGGAUGAGUGGCGAACGGGUGAGUAACACGUGAGUAACCUGCCUCCUUCUUUGGGAUAACGCCCGGAAACGGGUGCUAAUACUGGAUCUUCACUGGUCUUCGCAUGGGGGUUGGUGGAAAGGGUUUUUCUGGUGGGGGAUGGGCUCGCGGCCUAUCUGCUUGUUGGUGGGGUGAUGGCCUACCAAGGCUUUGACGGGUAGCCGGCCUGAGAGGGUGAACGGGCACAGUGAGACGGAGAUGAGGCCCAGAGUCCUACGGAGGGGAGAAGUGGGGAAUAUUGCACAAAGGGCGCAAGACUGAUGCAGCGACGGCGAAUGAGGGAUGGAGGCCUUCAGGUUGUGAACCUAGUUCGGACAUGGUCAAGCCGCAACAAUAGUUGUGGUGAGGGUAGUGGGUAAAGAAGCGCCGGCUAACUACGUG
rnacentral:rRNA from 1 species